GCAAAAUGAAGAGUAAGAAAUGUUACUCGAACAUUGAAGUAAACAUUACAUUUUUGCAAUUAAAUUGAGCACAGAUGCCAAAACAGGAAAUUCUAAACAACACCGGAAACGUGUUAAAUUCAGUCAAAACACGGUGAUGUUUAUUCGUGUUUAAAUCUACAUCGACGAACAAACAAUAAAUCUGAAGGGUAAGGCAAAUGUAAAAUGUAUAAAUUACGCAUAAAUCAUUACAAUGCGAGUUUUUCCGACUGGUGUAUGACGUCACAAAAAGUUGCCAGGUGCUUUUCCUUUCACACACACAUUAACGCAUGUAACGGAGGAACAAAAGCGUGAAGAUUUUAGCACGUUGUUCAAUCAGCAGAAAUUGUGUGUGAGGCUCCUCCAGACACUUCAUAUUCAGUGAUAAUAAAGAAUGAAGCAUGUGUUCAGAUCAUGCAGUCAACAGACGAAGAGCUCUGGAACGUUUGGAUUGAUCUUCAUUGCAGUGAUGGACAUCAGCUGCGGACAGGUGGCAAGUUUGAUUCUCCAGCACAGGAUCAGAUGUCCAUCCUGGAUGCAGCAGAGGCUUCAGGAUCUUCUCAGACUGAAAAGGUAAAUCUGGCAUGCUAGUGUCUCCAAGAGACAAUAUAAUGUGUGAUGUCAACAAGAACAUGAGGCAAGUCCUGAAGAUCAUACUGCUUACUGUGGAGCAUUCUUUUAUAUUUUCCUUUUUAUCCAACUAAUUGUGUUGGUGUAAUUAUGGGAGAAAACUGUGGUUCUUUGGCUGUAAUCAUACCACCUAUAUCUGUGCUAGCACCUCAACCAACCAAAUAACUGUAUAAUUUCUAGAAGAGAGAGAGAGAGAGAGAGUGCGUGUAUAAAAAGUUUAAUUGCAAAAACAAACAACCACUGUUUUCAGAGUUUCUCAGACAUUUUUGUAAGAGGUUGUACUCUACAAUACUCAA